rnacentral:rRNA from 1 species
UGGGGAAUUUUGGACAAUGGGCGCAAGCCUGAUCCAGCAAUGCCGCGUGCAGGAUGAAGGCCUUCGGGUUGUAAACUGCUUUUGUACGGAACGAAAAGGCUCUGGCUAAUACCUGGGGCACAUGACGGUACCGUAAGAAUAAGCACCGGCUAACUACGUGCCAGCAGCCGCGGUAAUACGUAGGGUGCGAGCGUUAAUCGGAAUUACUGGGCGUAAAGCGUGCGCAGGCGGUUUUGUAAGACAGAGGUGAAAUCCCCGGGCUCAACCUGGGAACUGCCUUUGUGACUGCAAGGCUGGAGUGCGGCAGAGGGGGAUGGAAUUCCGCGUGUAGCAGUGAAAUGCGUAGAUAUGGCGGAGGAACACCGAUGGCGAAGGCAAUCCCCUGGGCCUGCACUGACGCUCAUGCACGAAAGCGUGGGGG